rnacentral:lncRNA from 1 species
UAGGCAAACCAAAUUGAACCUAAUGAACCAAUUGGUGAUUAAGAUAAGUUUGGCAAUCUUGACCAGUGGUCAUUAAUUGGGAGCUACUCGCAUAGAUUGAGUCUAUGGCGAGUUAAUGGCAUAUUCCUCUCAUCGAUCUCACUUACAUGACUAAUGUGGUGAAUCAGCUUUUGAUUCGAUUGCUCAUUGAUUCGUGCUAAACCCAUGCUGUAUAGGUUGAUCAAUGUGACUGAUUUAGG